GAUGAACGCUGGCGGCGUGCCUAAUACAUGCAAGUCGAGCGAACGGACGAGAAGCUUGCUUCUUUGAUGUUAGCGGCGGACGGGUGAGUAACACGUGGAUAACCUACCUAUAAGACUGGGAUAACUUCGGGAAACCGGAGCUAAUACCGGAUAAUAUUUUGAACCGCAUGAUUCAAAGGAGAAAGACGGCCUUGCUGUAACUUAUAGAUGGAUCCGCGCUGCAUUAGCUAGUUGGUAAGGUAACGGCUUACCAAGGCAACGAUGCGUAGCCGACCUGAGAGGGUGAUCGGCCACACUGGAACUGAGACACGGUCCAGACUCCUACGGGAGGCAGCAGUAGGGAAUCUUCCGCAAAGGGCGAAAGCCUGACGCAGCAACGCCGCGUGGGUGAUGAAGGUCUUCGGAUCGUAAAGCUCUGUUAUUGGGGAAGAACAUAUGUGGAAGUAACUGUGCACAUCUUGACGGUACCUAAUCAGAAAGCCACGGCUAACUACGUG
rnacentral:rRNA from 1 species